rnacentral:rRNA from 1 species
AAGUUUGAUCCUGGCUCAGGAUGAACGCUGGCGGCGUGCCUAAUACAUGCAAGUCGAACGCAUAUCUUCGGAUAUGAGUGGCGAACGGGUGAGUAAUACAUAAGUAACCUGGCCUUAAGAGGGGGAUAACUAUUAGAAAUGAUAGCUAAGACCGCAUAGGUAUGAAGAUCGCAUGAUCUACAUAUUAAAUAUCCCACGGGAUAGCUGAAGGAUGGACUUAUGGCGCAUUAGCUAGUUGGUAGGGUAACGGCCUACCAAGGCGACGAUGCGUAGCCGACCUGAGAGGGUGGACGGCCACACUGGGACUGAGACACGGCCCAGACUCCUACGGGAGGCAGCAGUAGGGAAUUUUCGGCAAUGGGGGAAACCCUGACCGAGCAACGCCGCGUGAGGGAGGAAGUAUUUCGGUAUGUAAACCUCUGUUAUAAAGGAAGAACGAUACAUGUAGGGAAUGACAUGCAAGUGACGGUACUUUAUGAGGAAGCCACGGCUAACUACGUG